GGAGGUGUAGCUCAGGGGUAGAGCGUUCGCUUCGCAGUUGAAGUGCCCGGGGUUCAAGUCCCCGCACCUCCG